rnacentral:rRNA from 2 species
AUUAGAUACCCCGGUAGUCCCAGCCGUAAACGAUGCUCGCUAGGUGUCAGGCAUGGCGCGACCGUGUCUGGUGCCGCAGGGAAGCCGUGAAGCGAGCCACCUGGGAAGUACGGCCGCAAGGCUGAAACUUAAAGGAAUUGGCGGGGGAGCACAACAACGGGUGGAGCCUGCGGUUUAAUUGGACUCAACGCCGGACAACUCACCGGGGGCGACAGCAAUAUGUAGGCCAAGCUGAAGACUUUGCCUGAAUCGCUGAGAGGAGGUGCAUGGC